rnacentral:rRNA from 1 species
CCUACGGGAGGCAGCAGUAGGGAAUCUUCCGCAAUGGACGAAAGUCUGACGGAGCAACGCCGCGUGAGCGAUGAAGGCCUUCGGGUCGUAAAGCUCUGUUGUCAGGGAAGAACAAGUACCGGAGUAACUGCCGGUACCUUGACGGUACCUGACCAGAAAGCCACGGCUAACUACGUGCCAGCAGCCGCGGUAAUACGUAGGUGGCAAGCGUUGUCCGGAAUUAUUGGGCGUAAAGCGCGCGCAGGCGGUUCCUUAAGUCUGAUGUGAAAGCCCCCGGCUCAACCGGGGAGGGUCAUUGGAAACUGGGGGACUUGAGUGCAGAAGAGGAAAGCGGAAUUCCACGUGUAGCGGUGAAAUGCGUAGAGAUGUGGAGGAACACCAGUGGCGAAGGCGGCUUUCUGGUCUGUAACUGACGCUGAGGCGCGAAAGCGUGGGGAGCAAACAGGAUUAGAUACCCUGGUAGUCCACGCCGUAAACGAUGAGUGCUAAGUGUUAGGGGGUUUCCGCCCCUUAGUGCUGCAGCUAACGCAUUAAGCACUCCGCCUGGGGAGUACGGCCGCAAGGCUGAAACUCAAAGGAAUUGACGG